ensembl:lncRNA
ACCCCAAGUCCUGUUGGAAGCUCUCCUAGAAACAGAAUUCCAGAGAGGCCAGUACCUCCUCCCAGAACUUCCCCCAGGGUUUGCCUCUGUGGCGCCAACGCUCUGGUGCUUGGACCAAACACAAGCUAGGCUGGUGCAGGUUUUGUGGAAGUGUAUGCUCGGGUCUUUUCUGAUUCACUCGUGAUCCUCCCUUGUCUCAUUGUGACUGGACACAAACAUGGAAACCCUCACAGUUUGGAGUCCAGUGGGUCUCACAAAAGCCCAGAACACCCUGAUGUCCACAUGGUCAUUUCCAAAUCUCAAAGCGACAUUUGAGUUGCAAAGUUGAAGCUGAUGGGGAAUCAUGUGUCUCCUUCCCACCUCCAGGAUCCCUUGACAUGUUUGAAGGGCUCUGGAGGAAAGAUGGCCUGAGAUGAGAGUUGCAGGCAUCAUGGCCCAGAAAUAUAAUUGACAGUAAAGGGCUUGAGGAGUUUUCGCUAUUCCCUAUUGAUUGUUAUAGAACUUGGAAGCUCGCCUAUGGGGCCUGGGAUCCAUCACCUCUCAUAACAGGCAUUAAACUGAUGUCAUUAUUCAGUGUCAUUCAGUGCCAUCAAAACAGGACCUGCUUUUGAAGACCAGCCCGGCCUUGAGCCUGAUCUUUGCCAUUUGACCAGCCGCCCAAGGGCAGACAUGCUUCCCAACUCUUGAAUUUCUUCUAAGGACACGCUGACCUGACAGGAUUGGUUUAGGAUUAAGUGAGAUGAUGUAUGGUCAGAUCAUAAUAGAAGCUCUACUAAAUACAAAUGCUGCUUUUUUGCUGCUUUCUUGCAGCAUGGUGACAAAUUCUCCUCUGGAAGAUCCUGCAGAUGUGAAACUGGGUGGAGGUGUCACCCGCUGACAGCGGUGGGUUUUUCUUCCCUUGGGUGGCAUAAGGGUGAAGAGCUGGGGGGUCUGCUGUCACUGAGCACUACAGGCCUGCUCUACACAACCCAUCCACCUGUGUUUAUAGCCUCCCCAGCCCUCGAAGCCCAUGUACGAGAGAAAAGGAGGAGGAUAUCAGAGUGAUAAAAUGAGUUUAUGUUGCUUUUAAAUGUAGCCACUGCAUCUUCUCACAAGUCCUUACAUAGUCCAUCUUUCUGAACUGGCUUUAACUCUUCCUGGCGUGUUUCUUGGUAGAGGGCGAACAUCCGGGAUGGUGGCCACAGAUUGUCACAGAUAAUUGACAGCAGGAAGCAUACACUCAGUUGCGACCAUGGUUUGGCUCUGUGACCCAGCUUUCUUUCUGUGUGUGUGUUUUGGAGCAGAUUGAAAUUCACUUGCUUUCCGAAAAAUAUCUGAGGUCCAGACAGUUCAAAUGAGUACGCUUACGUUGUUAAAGGCUCUAAAAAAGGUUGUACUCUCUUCAGUUAAAUAGGAGAAAAAUAUACUUGCAUAUCGAUUCCUGAACCACAGAAACUGCCAGAUAAUAAAUAUUUGUUGUUUUAAGUCAUUAAGUUAAUUGAGGGAUAAUUUGUUAUGCAGUCGUAGCUAUGCCAGAUGAAAAGGGCUGAUGCCAUCACAAUACGGAACCAUAGAUGGAAAUCCCAGGAAUUUGCUAUCUCAUUGAUUUGACGGUGAAUUCUUGCACAUGAGUUGAUCUCAUAUUAAUUAACAUUAGCAUUUCGUGGAAAGCUGAGAGUGUCACCCUCAUGACACUGCUCUUCCACCUCGUCUCUCUAUGCAGAAUCUUAUCUUGUCACUUUACAUGUGUACAUUUCCAGCGGGAUAGGCAUAUUUGUGGUCUAGGUAAUUUCCCCAGACACUGUUUCCCGUGUAGCUGAAGACAAAAAGACUAUUUAUUAGUAUCUUGUUAGCCAUACACCCAGGCAAGAAACAAAAUUGUAUUGUUUUUGCUUGAAAGAAUUUGGAGGAAGACAGAGCCACCUCCUUUAGAUCCAGAUCAGCCCAUGCUCCUGGUCAAUAAGAAAUGGACUUGUCCUGUACAUUCCUGACUUGCUUUUCUCAUUGCUUGCAGCCGCCCAUUGGUGAUUUCCACCCAGCUCACGAUUCUGUGCUGUUCAGGUCACGUUAACAGACAGCAACCGACUUGCCAGACAGGUCCCACAGUAGCAACACAUGACUGCGAUCACAUAGGGGACCUUGCCAAGCCCUCUCAACCCCAGACUUAACAUCACAACUCUGAUUCUGUGGGAUAGUGAGGCAGUGCUGACGGGGGUUGACAAAUAGCACAAGGGCAUUUCAGGGCCCAAUUAAAAAAAAAACUAGGUCGUGAUAUUUAUUUGGUAUAGAAAAAUUAGAAAAUAUAGCUGAACAAAGAGAAGAUCCUACAAAUUAACCUCUAAUCACAACCUAAAUGUAACUGGUCGCUGAGAAAAGCGCCUGGCCGAGGGGAUGAGAGCCAGAACGAACUCCUGUGAAG